rnacentral:rRNA from 1 species
UCGAGGGGCAGCGGGGAGCAAGCUUGCUUGCUCUGCCGGCGACCGGCGCACGGGUGAGUAACACGUAUGCAACCUGCCCUCCGCAGGGGGAUAACCCGGAGAAAUCCGGACUAAUACCGCGUGGUACAUCUGUGGGGCAUCCCACGGGUGUUAAAAGGAAGCGAUUCCGGCGGAGGAUGGGCAUGCGGCGCAUUAGCUUGUUGGCGGGGUAACGGCCCACCAAGGCGACGAUGCGUAGGGGUUCUGAGAGGAAGGUCCCCCACACUGGUACUGAGACACGGACCAGACUCCUACGGGAGGCAGCAGUGAGGAAUAUUGGUCAAUGGGCGGGAGCCUGAACCAGCCAAGUCGCGUGAGGGAAGACGGUCCUAUGGAUUGUAAACCUCUUUAGGCGGGGAGCAAUGCCGGGCACGCGUGCCCGGAGGGAGAGUACCCGCAGAAUAAGCAUCGGCUAACUCCGUG